rnacentral:lncRNA from 1 species
AACCUCCGCUAACAAAAAUAGUACACUGUAUACUAAUUGUAUUUAAAAAACCAACUUAUACAGAAUAAUGGAGUUCCAGGUGGAAAGGGACUCUUAGGGUCCAAUAUUGGCCUCACUCUGCCAUUUUCCAAAUAAGGUUGCAAUUUCUCUAACACUGCUCCAUCUGAAGUGAGUAAGAAAGGGAUAGCUGGUGGAGUUCCAGGUGGUAGUAUUGUCACAACUUUUCCUCCUUCAUUGGCAGCCUUCACUGCCCUCUCACUAUCACCUAUUUUUGGAAUAUAUAAAAAAUAUUAAAUAGGUUCUUAACUAUAUUGUUUUCUUACAAUGAAAACUUACACAUUAUACAACAUAUUAAUAAAAAUUCAAAUUUAAUACAAAUAUCUUACCUACUGCAUCAUACACCACAUCAAACUUUUCAGUAAUUUCUUCAUAAUUCUCCUUUGUAUAAUCAAUUGCCAAGUCUGCUCCCAAUUUCCUCAAAAAUUCAAGUUUUGUUGUGCUAGCAGUAGCUGCAAUUCUAGAUGCCUCAAAAACAUGCUUGGCUAGCUAUAGUCCAAAACAAAUAAUUGCAUUCCAUUAGAUGACAAAAUACUACAUUGUAUACUUUAUGUAUUACAAAAGCCAACUUAUAUUGAGGAAUGAAUAAGUUAAGGACGAAUUGUUUGGGAGAAUCUGUUUGGUUUCUGGUUGGAACAUUCUUUAAUCGGACUUUACUUAUCUUCUAGUUAGACUUACGGAUUAUCAGCGUCGCUUUUCUCGAGAACCACAAGAUGAGAACAAAAAAUGUUCAUCUUAUUUUCAAGGGAUUUAACUAUCUUCUGGUCAAACUUUAGUUAAAGAUGAAUUGUUUGUGAGAACCUGUUAUAUUUCUGAUUAGAACAAUUUUUAGUCCGACUUUAACCGGGUUCUCUUUUCAUGAGAACAAAGACUGAAGACAAAAAAAUAUAUAUAUAUCUUAUCUUAUGUUAUUUCCUAGUAUUGAGUAUCUUUAGAAACAAGAUUUCAAACCUGAAUAACAAGAGAUCCAACUCCCCCAGCACCUCCAAGAACAAGUAGAGAUUUCCCAGAAGAAAAUUCUACUCUUUCAAGACCUUGAUAAGCAGUAAUUAUUGCUAAAGGGAGACUAGCAGCUUCAACAAAACUCAAAUUUGAUGGCUUGUGAGCAAGUACUUUUUCUUCAGCAACAGUAUACUCUGACAAAGAACCAACAGUUUUUGGAUUGUUUAAAGCAGUCUCAUUGAUAUCACCAUAAACUUCAUCUCCAACCUUAAAUUUAUUCACUUUCUCUCCCACACUAACCACAACACCAGCAACAUCAUAUCCUGGCACAGUCUUCACACCACCACACAAAAGAAAGAAAAAAAAUCAUGUUAUUCAAGCAUUAUAUUUGUGAGUUUAAUUUUGAUACCUUGUUGGUGUUUUCCACUGUCAAGAAAUUACGAACAAUCAUACGUGUGAUGUUAGAAAUAAUUAAUAUUUAAGUAGACGUUUUUAAUAAUCUUACCCAUAUGAUUGCUAGUGAAAAAAUUAUUUAAUUAUGAAUCAAAUGCAAAAAAAAAAAAAAUAAUAUAUAUAUAUAUAUAUAUAUUGGUUUAGGAAUUUAGCGGGGAUAUGGGGUUCGAACUCUGACCCCUGCAUAAAUUAUGCAUUGCCACUAUCAACUGAGCUAAACUUUUAGAGAAUUUUUUUUUACAUAUUUGAUAUGACUAAAAACAAAGAACAAGUUUUACAAGAUUAAAAUAAAAAUAAAAAUUCAUACUUAGGUCAUAGAUGGUAAUUGAAAUCUUACUGGCAAAGGAGAGUCAAUAUCCUUCAACUGACCAAGAGCCCUCUUAAUCUCUACAGGAUUAAGGGCAGCAGCCACAACCUUGAUGAGCACUUGAUCUUCUUUGGGGUGUGGUGUAGGUACAUUAGGAUCAAACUUUAGAACAUCUUCUAUAAUACCAUAUUGAGAGUAAACCCAAGCUUUUGUAUGAGAUGGAAUACUAUGUGUGCUUGCCAUGAUCACUUUGCUAUUAAGAGUUUUAAGAGAAAAAUAUAUAAAAAGGUAAUUAUUAGAUGUAAUAUAAAGUUGCACUUUGUGUUGGUGUUUUUUGUGUGAUAAUGUUCAUCAAAUCAAAUGACUAUUAUUUAUAUAGAUAGGAGUUGUACGUUAAAAUGCUUGAAUCAUUCUAAUAUUUGUUCAUUUAAGAAUAAUAAGUGUCCAUUCCCUUUUCUUAUUUUAUGUAUGUCAAAUUCAUUCAACCAAUGCAUGAAGAUGACUUUGGGGAUAAGUUCAUGAAGUGAUGUAAUGGUAUACGAGGAGCAAUCUCAUUCAACCAGGAGCAUUCGGUUUUGCUGCUCAACUUGGAUCUCCAAUAUUUAUAUUCUAACAAUUAGACUAAAAGUUAUGAAUCUUUUUAAUUAAUAAUUAAGUUUAUACUUCUGCAAUUCAUAAAAAAUUUAAAAUUAUAAUAAAUAAACAUGCGAAUUUAACUCAGUUGAUAGCGACAUUGCAUUAUAUAUUAAGAACCGAGAUUUAAAUUAUAUAUUCAUCACUUAUUCACCUUAAAAGGUAAUUUCUAUCGACCAAACUACUUAAUAAAAAAUAUAUGUUUUUAAUAUCUAUAAGUAUAGUCAACUCGGGUGUAAGUUCAACAAAGGCAACCAAAAAAAUAUCAAAAACAAAACCUCUUAUACAACAAUUUUCAACAUUAAAAUAAAUACAAUCUUAUAUAAAAUUAAUAUUGUCACGACAAAAAUUAAAUUAUACCAGUUUUUUCAAAAUUAAAAUUAAUAAAAUCUUAUAUAAAAGUAAAGUUUUCUCCUUAAAAAAAAAAAAGUUUCCUUUCACUAAAUAAUUGCUUUCUAGUUACUGUUCUUCCUUGAGUGACUUCACGCCUGACAUCAGACACAAGCACGUACAAUUCAAUUAUGAACAAAAUGUAUUUGAUCAUGUAUUUGUUCAUAAACAUAUUGUUAGGAAAAACUAGACUUAAUUGUUUCUUUAAGGUGGAAUAUAUUUCGUUACACACAUGUAAUUAAAUAGACAAUCAUCCGGAAGCAAUUUUAGAAUGCAAUAAUAAAGAUAAAAUAAUUGACAAAAAAAAUUUAGAGUACAAAUCAAGUUGCUUGGGCUCUAGUGGCAAAGAGCUCUUUCCAAAUACGUAUUCGGGGAAUACCGGUUUCGAUUCUCAGGGGGAACAACGCUUGGCCAGUGCGCAUGCCUAUACACACGAGCCGGAUUAGUCGUCCACCUUUGGUGGGUCGGAAACCGGUGCGAAAGCAAAAAAAAAAUUGUGGAAAAAUGACGAAAUCUCAAAAUCAAACGUAAGAAGACUGAACAUAUGUGGAAAUCACUUAUUUAACAAGAAUAAGGAAAAACAAUUUUGAGGUGUAAUUUUCGGAUCAAAAUUGUCCUUAAUCACUCACAAGAAGAAGUAAGGUGGUGACAUAUACACAAUGUACAACGUGAAAUUGCAUGAUCCAACCUCGAAGACUUGUUUAUUCUUCUUAAAAAGUUAAAUUUCUAACUAAUAAACUAUUUGACUGAGAAUUAAAAAAUCACGGGGAGAUAGUACAAUUAAAUCUUGCAGCAAAGAACAUUAGAAAACUACUACACCAGAACCCAAAGACCUUUCUUUUGUUUCUCUCAAGCUUCUCAGCAUGUUCUCCUUCAAGUUGUUUUUCCAAGUCAUAAAUCAUUUCCCAGUGAUUAUAAAAAGCAGAGCAGCUUAUCCAAACUCUUGAUUUGUACUAUAAACUUUCAUGAAAAGAUUGUACUUUCAAAUGGUAAAGACUAAAAUUUCAAGAUUGUAAAUGAGUGAAGAAACAAGGUUUUAUAAUGUUUUUUAAUUAUAUAUAUUGUGCAGAUGAACAUUGCAUUAACGGUUUUGUUUCAUUUACUUUAUCCCAUUUAUCGUCAUUUAUAAAAGAUAUAGACACAAUAUUAUUUUAUAAAAAAGUUUGGAUUUUUAAUCACGCCACGAUUUUUUCAGAACUUCAAUAUCAAUUUUGAAUCAAUUUUCAACAUUAACGAUUUUUUGGAUAAUUAUAAAAAAUAACAAACAUAUAUCUCUUAGAGAUUUAUUACUGCAUAAACACACAAAUACACUUUCUAGUAACCAAAAUAGUACAAAUUCAAAGCCAUGAAAUUUAUGAGCUUGAUUAUUCAUGCUCAUGGAAUGGGAUGAAUAACUAUUUUCCCAAUAGCUCUAUUAGUAUUGAGAUAGGAAAAUGCUUCCAAAGUCUGAUAAAAUGGAAAGGGACUCUUAGGGUCCAAUAUUGGUUUCACUUUGCCAUUUUCCAAAUAAGGUUGCAAUUUCUCUAAUACAGCUCCAUCUGAAGUGAGUAAGAAAGGGAUAGCUGGUGGAGUUCCAGGUGGUAGUAUUGUCACAACUUUUCCUCCUUCAUUGGCAGCCUUCACUGCCCUCUCACUAUCAC